UACGUAGGGGGCAAGCGUUGUCCGGAUUUAUUGGGCGUAAAGAGCGUGUAGGCGGUCCGGUAAGUCCGCUGUGAAAGUCGGGGGCUCAACCCUGGGAUGCCGGUCGAUACUGCCGGACUAGAGUUCGGAAGAGGCGAGUGGAAUUCCCGGUGUAGCGGUGAAAUGCGCAGAUAUCGGGAGGAACACCAAUGGCGAAGGCAGCUCGCUGGGACGUUACUGACGCUGAGACGCGAAAGCGUGGGGAGCAAACAGG
rnacentral:rRNA from 1 species